AGGAGAUUGCCGGGAGGCCUACCGUGCGAGUCGAGCGGUAGCACAGAGAGCUUGCUCUCGGGUGACGAGCGGCGGACGGGUGAGUAAUGUCUGGGAAACUGCCUGAUGGAGGGGGAUAACUACUGGAAACGGUAGCUAAUACCGCAUAACGUCGCAAGACCAAAGUGGGGGACCUUCGGGCCUCAUGCCAUCAGAUGUGCCCAGAUGGGAUUAGCUAGUAGGUGGGGUAACGGCUCACCUAGGCGACGAUCCCUAGCUGGUCUGAGAGGAUGACCAGCCACACUGGAACUGAGACACGGUCCAGACUCCUACGGGAGGCAGCAGUGGGGAAUAUUGCACAAUGGGCGCAAGCCUGAUGCAGCCAUGCCGCGUGUAUGAAGAAGGCCUUCGGGUUGUAAAGUACUUUCAGCGGGGAGGAAGGCGAUAAGGUUAAUAACCUUGUCGAUUGACGUUACCCGCAGAAGAAGCACCGGCUAACUCCGUGCCAGCAGCCGCGGUAAUACGGAGGGUGCAAGCGUUAAUCGGAAUUACUGGGCGUAAAGCGCACGCAGGCGGUCUGUCAAGUCGGAUGUGAAAUCCCCGGGCUCAACCUGGGAACUGCAUUCGAAACUGGCAGGCUAGAGUCUUGUAGAGGGGGGUAGAAUUCCAGGUGUAGCGGUGAAAUGCGUAGAGAUCUGGAGGAAUACCGGUGGCGAAGGCGGCCCCCUGGACAAAGACUGACGCUCAGGUGCGAAAGCGUGGGGAGCAAACAGGAUUAGAUACCCUGGUAGUCCACGCCGUAAACGAUGUCGAUUUGGAGGUUGUGCCCUUGAGGCGUGGCUUCCGGAGCUAACGCGUUAAAUCGACCGCCUGGGGAGUACGGCCGCAAGGUUAAAACUCAAAUGAAUUGACGGGGGCCCGCACAAGCGGUGGAGCAUGUGGUUUAAUUCGAUGCAACGCGAAGAACCUUACCUGGUCUUGACAUCCACAGAACUUACCAGAGAUGGUUUGGUGCCUUCGGGAACUGUGAGACAGGUGCUGCAUGGCUGUCGUCAGCUCGUGUUGUGAAAUGUUGGGUUAAGUCCCGCAACGAGCGCAACCCUUAUCCUUUGUUGCCAGCGGUUAGGCCGGGAACUCAAAGGAGACUGCCAGUGAUAAACUGGAGGAAGGUGGGGAUGACGUCAAGUCAUCAUGGCCCUUACGACCAGGGCUACACACGUGCUACAAUGGCAUAUACAAAGAGAAGCGACCUCGCGAGAGCAAGCGGACCUCAUAAAGUAUGUCGUAGUCCGGAUUGGAGUCUGCAACUCGACUCCAUGAAGUCGGAAUCGCUAGUAAUCGUAGAUCAGAAUGCUACGGUGAAUACGUUCCCGGGCCUUGUACACACCGCCCGUCACACCAUGGGAGUGGGUUGCAAAAGAAGUAGGUAGCUUAACCUUCGGGAGGGCGCUUACCAACGGUAUUACCCU
rnacentral:rRNA from 1 species